CCUCCAUCCCUCUGGCUUAGGCACGCUGGUGGAAAGUGAAUCCCGCUCCGGAGGAAGACUCGGACCGCGGGGCGAGAGAAGGGGAUGGCUUCGCGGAGGCAGCGCACCAAGGCUCGCUGGGAGCUGGUGAGGUGGUACGUCCGAGAGGGAAAAUAUAAAGUGGAGGAGCGCACAUUGUCUGCGUUCCAGUGGCUCUACUCGCCCUACCAACAUCGCAUCUCCAACCGUGCGGACAGGCAGUCACCGGACAGGAUUGACAAGUCCACACUCAGUGCCCUGAAAGGCAGGAAGCAGGAGAUGCUCACUAUCUCGAACGUGCCCCUGGGGGAGUGCCCUCCCUCGCCCCCCCGGACCGCCCCACCCACCAUGAAGUCUGCAGAAUUCUUUGACAUGCUGGAGAAGAUGGAGGUCCCAAAAGCGGAGGAGCCGCGGACAGGCCCACAGAGGCAUAAGGAUGACUACAUUCCCUACCCCAGGAUAGAGGAGGUCCUGGACAAGGGCGGCCCGUUCCCCCAGGUCAUCCUGCCCCAGUUCGGGGGGUACUGGAUCGAGGACGCAGAGGCUCUCGCUGGAACGCCCAUCUCCACAGACAGCAGCUUCUGCGACGAGGACGAUGGGGGCGGGAUGAGCCCCAGCGGGCCUUACGGCUUUCGGCUGGAGUGCAACAGCACGGCUCGGGCCUACCGCCGCCACUUCCUGGGCAGGGAGCACAUGAACUACUACUGCACAGGCAGCAGCCUAGGGAAUCUCAUCCUGUCCCUGAAGCACGAGGAGGCAGACAGCCAGGAGUACCUGCGCAUCAUUCUCAGGUCACGGACAAAGACAAUCUAUGACAGGAUCUCUCUGGCGGGAUUGCCACAGCUCCCCAGUGUCCCACAGAUAGCCAAGCUGCUGUGUGAUGAUGUCACAGGCCUAAAAUUCAGUCCAAUUCUAUACCCCAGGGGUUCACAGUUGAUUGUCAGCUUUGAUGAACAUGAAAUUAACAACACCUUCAAGUUCGGCGUCAUCUAUCAGAAGUUUGGCCAGACAUCAGAGGAGGAGCUGUUUGGGAACAACGAGGAGACGCCGGCUUUCACAGAGUUCCUGAACAUGCUCGGGGACUGUGUUGAGCUGCAGGACUUUAAGGGUUUCAGAGGAGGGCUUGAUGUGUCCCACGGUCAGACCGGCUCUCAGUCCGUCUACACGGUCUUCCGGGACAGAGAGCUCAUGUUCCACGUCUCCACCAAGCUGCCGUACACAGAGGGAGAUCCACAGCAGCUUCAGAGGAAGAGGCACAUUGGGAAUGACAUUGUGGCAGCGGUUUUCCAGGAAGAGCCAACACCAUUUGUGCCGGACAUGAUUGCCUCCAACUUCCUCCAUGCUUACAUCCUGGUCCAGGUGGAAAACCCCUGUACAGAGCACACUACCUACAAGGUGUCUGUUACCGCCCGGGAGGACGUGCCAACCUUCGGCCCGCCACUCCCGAACCCGGCUGUCUUCAAAAAGGGCCCCGAGUUCCGGGAGUUCUUACUGACUAAGCUGAUAAACGCGGAGAACGCCUGCUACAAGUCGGACAGAUUUGCCAAGCUGGAGGGACGGACGCGGGCUGCCCUUCUGGAUAACCUUCAUGACGAGGUGCACAGACAGACGCAGGCCAUGAUGGGGCUGGGUCUGGGCUCAGACGAGGAGAAGCUGGAGAACGGCAGUCACGGGGGACUGCUCGAGUCCUUCAAGCGGGCAAUGCGGGUGCGCAGUCACUCCAUGGAGACCAUGGUGGGGUCACAUCGCCACCGGAGCCCAGGAGGGGGGGCGGGCGGGGUGCCGGCCAGCCUGAGUGGGGGGGUGGUGACUCAGACCAGCGCGGAGUGCACCAAGAGCACCUACACUCCUCCAGCACUGUCUGCUAAGUCACCCCUGAAGAGCCCAGUGAAGCGAAGAUCAGGACUUUUUCCUCGACUGCAUUCCAGCACAGAUAGCCAGACAGACAGACAUUCACGCAGUGAGCAAAGGAUUUCAGACAGCAGUCAUCUGUCACAGGAAGUGAGGUCAGAGCCCUCGUCAAACCCUAGCUCCCCAGAGAUCUGCCCAAACAAGGAAAGGCCGUUCAUCAAGCUGAAAGACUGCAGCAGUCGAGCCAACAUCUCCCGCUCGUCCUCCAGCACCAGCAGCUUCAGCAGUGCCACUGGCGAGGGGGAGGCCCUGGAGGAGAUGGACACUGUGAGCACCACGACCAUCCAACCGCCCGUGACCUACCCCCCCGUGUACAGCCCCUCCCUCAGUGUGGAGAGCCAAGGUUCUGGAACCCCCGUAAUCAUGUGCCGCAGCCCCACAGGUAACCCUGUCAGCCAGGCCUGCCCCUGUCGCCCAUAUCACUCAACUGGACUGUUCUCCUGCACUACUUGAAGAGCAAAACAUCUCCAAGAUCCAACUUGAAGUUCCGCUUUGACAAGCUGAGCCACUCUACUGCACAGUAGCAGCUGUCUGAAGGCCAGGUGAAGAUCUGAGAGGUGGCUAUGGAGUGAGGGGAAGAGACCAUGUGCUGAAGUGGAUGACAUCCUCCAUUAACAUCAUCAUCAAAUGAACUGAGUCUUUCCAGGUUUCGGAGGAAGGGGAAGGAAAGGUGUCCCAAAAAAAGACAACUUUACGGAGAGGUGGCGAGUGAUCCUUAAAGCUUCAUUCACUGGGAAGCAAAGGAGGAGGACAGAGCUGAGAAGAAAGAAGAUUGUCUGUAACAGUCUCAUUCCCUUUCCCAAGCAUUUUGCACAUUCCAAGAGAACUGCCCCCUUGCCUAUCCAAUGCACAAGAACACAUGCACGUAAAUGCAUAUAAUUGUACAUGCAUGUGCCCACAUUCAUUCACAUGCACAAACACAUGUAAACACACACACAGCUACAAAAAAAGUUGAAAUUCAUAUUAAUUGGACAUGCUUGGCAAUCAGUUGGACCCCAUUACUUCCUUCCCCCUCCAAUGAAAACCAGCUCAGUCCUUGCAGGUCUCAUCAUCACCAGGGUUAAUGAAAUUAGCAUAAACAUAAAUAUGUUUUUAAAAUAUAUAAAUGAAACAGAGGAGCUCCACCGACCAUGUUAAAACCUACUCCAUGACUGGUGGAGCUCCAUUCUGUUUUAAAGUAAAUUGUCUGUCUUACCCCUAUUUCAUUAUGCAGGGUGAAUAGAGCAUUGAUCCUGCCUCCAUGUCACCUAUACUGCUCCACCUGCCCUGUGUUUCAAGCCACUGUCACAUUGUCACUCACUGCCCAAAAGCACAUUAAUGGGAAGGUUUUUUUUUUCCAUUCAGGAAGUUUCUUCUCCACUGCCAGUGGUACUCUGCCUUGUUCAUAAUAUGGUUUCAACAAGUGGAAAUGCACUAUAUGUACAGUAUAUCGGAUCAGUUAAAGAGAAGAAAGGUUCUGGAGAAAACACCUAAAAAUGACAAUGAAUGGAACAAUGGUCCCUUCCUUUCAUUUUUCAUUGUUGUUAUUAAAACCUGACUGAUCUCUAGCUGCUCCCGAAACAUAAUAACACAGGUGGACACCCUGCCUCACCCAUGGUACGAUCCUACCAUAUAAGCUCUUAUACCUGUUGGUAUACUGUAAUAGAGAUGUGUCUUGGUAAGCAUUUCACAUAUAUUGAGAAACAAGUAAUGACUACUAAUAGGGUCCAGCAACUGCACAGUACAAGUCUGCACAAAAAGGAAUACAGCGCUCAACUUAAGCAUCUGAAAUCUACUUAUUUGUGAAGUGUAGACAGUGCCCGGGCAGAUAUUUUAUGGAAUCCUGUGGAAAAAGGAUAUGUGAGAAUGUUAAGUCUUAAGUACAGCAGAAAAAACUUUGGAUUUUAGAAAAUCACCCAUUUCAAAUGUACUCAUUACAACUCAUCAACCCAUAAUGGCUUUUGCCAUCUGUCAAAAAGCUAUUACUGUAACAGGAAUAAAAACAAUGUUUUUUUUUUAAGUGUCCUUAUUGGAAACGUAAAAAUUCCCUUCAGAAAUGGUGAUUUGAGGUGAACUUGAGAAAUGAAAAAUAGUCAUUACAAGUAAAAGUAAGUUAUUCCUCAAAGGGACAAUGCCCAAAAAGCGAUGUUGGUACUCAACAGAUUGUUUCUCGAAGAUGUACAGAAUCCAGGUUCUACUGUCAGAAAUGUUUAAAGAAAAUAAAACAAGAAAUGUUGCUGUUAUAGUUUUGUUUAUCUUAUAGUUUGAAGCUUGUCAGUGCCCCUCAGUCUACAUUCUGUUGUUAGAAAUAAUUUAUUGCUAUUUUAGCAAAUAGCCUUUUAUGUUGUUGUAAUGUAUAAAUGAAAUAAUAAAGUACAUAUAUGAAUUAAAAUAAAAAGAAAUAUAAGGUUAAUUAUUUAAAGAGAAUAAAUCUUGUAUAUGUAUAUUUGGUUAAGUUAUGUGUCUUGCCGAUUUGCUAAAUAAAAUGUUGUAUUUUGUGUCAAA